rnacentral:rRNA from 1 species
AAGUAGGGGGCGAGCGUUAUUCGGAAUUACUGGGUGUAAAGGGUAUGUAGGCGGCCCUUCAAGUCGCGUGUCAAAGUCCAGAGAUCAAAGCUGGGUGUGCGCGCGAUACUGACGGUCUUGAGGGCUGGAGAGGUGAGCGGAAUUCCCGGUUUAGUGGUAAAAUACGUAUAGAUCGGGAGGAACACCAGCGGCGCAGGCGGCUCACUAGACAGUUUCUGACGCUAAGAUACGAAAGCGUGUGGAGCAAACAG